rnacentral:tRNA from 1 species
GGGGAAUUAGCUCAUCUGGUAGAGCGUUUGCAUGGCAUGCAAAAGGUAACCGGUUCGACUCCGGUAUUCUCCA